AUCUAGUUAGUAUAACUAAGUACAGCAAGUUUCCAACUUGAGGGUUCUUUUGAAUUAGAUA
rnacentral:tRNA from 1 species